rnacentral:misc_RNA from 1 species
GUGUUUGGUUUUGAGGGAGCCAAMMCUGCGCAAGCAGGCAGGUGAACUCAAAGKGGCUUUGGAUGUGCGAAAGCAGAUCRAGAGCCGGAAUGUACCUUGGAAACUGGAUAACGACUCCUAUGAAGAAGUCAAACCGACACGAACACAGUGGGUAACUGUGAGCAUGCGGAAUUUGAGACGCGAGGAAUGCGAAAGCAGUCCGAAGCGGAUCGAAGGACGCAAACAGGUGAAGGUAGGAAGGGCGCACGGAGGAUGCCUAGGCGCCAGGAGCCGACGAAGGACGGGGCGAACGAAGGACGGGGCGAAC